rnacentral:lncRNA from 1 species
GGGGUUUCUCCAGGUUGGCCAGGCUAGUCUUCAAUCUCCAAAAGUGAUGUGCCCGCCUCAGCCUCCCAAAGUGCUGGCACUACAGGUGUGAGCCACCACGCCUGGCCACAGUUGUUAAUUUCAUUUACUAUUCACUCUGUAUUCAAAUUUCCCCAACAUACUUAAAAUAUGUUCAUUGUUUCUCCCCCACUAGGACGAAAAGUGUCUGUCGUGUCCCUUGCCAUAUCCCACACCCUAUGACGGUGACUGGUGCCUGACACUCACCAGAAGUACAUAAAUGUUUUUAUCCUUGUAUGGAUUCCUAACUCGUGAGGUUGUUGGGAGCAGAAGCUCAAUAAAU